rnacentral:rRNA from 1 species
CUUCCGUAGGUGAACCUGCGGAAGGAUCAUUACCGAGUGUAGGGUUCCUAGCGAGCCCAACCUCCCACCCGUGUUUACUGUACCUUAGUUGCUUCGGCGGGCCCGCCAUUCAUGGCCGCCGGGGGCUCUCAGCCCCGGGCCCGCGCCCGCCGGAGACACCACGAACUCUGUCUGAUCUAGUGAAGUCUGAGUUGAUUGUAUCGCAAUCAGUUAAAACUUUCAACAAUGGAUCUCUUGGUUCCGGCAUCGAUGAAGAACGCAGCGAAAUGCGAUAACUAGUGUGAAUUGCAGAAUUCCGUGAAUCAUCGAGUCUUUGAACGCACAUUGCGCCCCCUGGUAUUCCGGGGGGCAUGCCUGUCCGAGCGUCAUUGCUGCCCAUCAAGCACGGCUUGUGUGUUGGGUCGUCGUCCCCUCUCCGGGGGGGACGGGCCCCAAAGGCAGCGGCGGCACCGCGUCCGAUCCUCGAGCGUAUGGGGCUUUGUCACCCGCUCUGUAGGCCCGGCCGGCGCUUGCCGAACGCAAAUCAAUCUUUUCCAGGUUGACCUCGGA